AUUGAACGCUGGCGGCAGGCCUAACACAUGCAAGUCGAGCGGCUCGUCGGACGGGUGAGUAAUGCCUAUGAAUCUGCCUGGUAGUGGGGGAUAACGUCCGGAAACUGGCGCUCAUACCGCAUACUCUCAGAUGAGCCUAGGUCGGAUUAGCUAGUUGGUGGGGUAAAGGCCUACCAAGGCGACGAUCCGUAACUGGUCUGAGAGGAUGAUCAUUCACACUGGAACUGAGACACGGGCCAGACUCCGACGGGAGGCAGCAGUGGGGAAUAUUGGACAAGGGGCGAAAGCCUGAUCCAGCCAUGCCGCGUGUGUGAAGAAGGUCUUCGGAUUGUAAAGCACUUUAAGUUGGGAGGCGUUACCAACAGAAUAAGCACCGGCUAACUUCGUGCCAGCCGCCGCGGUAAUAC
rnacentral:rRNA from 1 species